GGAUGUAGCCAAGUGGAUCAAGGCAGUGGAUUGUGAAUUCACCAUGCGUAGGUUCGAUUCUCGUCGUUC
rnacentral:tRNA from 1 species